rnacentral:rRNA from 1 species
AUUGAACGCUGGCGGCAGGCCUAACACAUGCAAGUCGAGCGGAUGAAGGGAGCUUGCUCCUGGAUUCAGCGGCGGACGGGUGAGUAAUGCCUAGGAAUCUGCCUGGUAGUGGGGGAUAACGUCCGGAAACGGGCGCUAAUACCGCAUACGUCCUGAGGGAGAAAGUGGGGGAUCUUCGGACCUCACGCUAUCAGAUGAGCCUAGGUCGGAUUAGCUAGUUGGUGGGGUAAAGGCCUACCAAGGCGGCGAUCCGUAACUGGUCUGAGAGGAUGAUCAGUCACACUGGAACUGAGACACGGUCCAGACUCCUACGGGAGGCAGCAGUGGAGAAUAUUGGACAAUGGGCGAAAGCCUGAUCCAGCCAUGCCGCGUGUGUGAAGAAGGUCUUCGGAUUGUAAAGCACUUUAAGUUGGGAGGAAGGGCAGUAAGUUAAUACCUUGCUGUUUUGACGUUACCAACAGAAUAAGCACCGGCUAACUUCGUG